GACGUAGGGCGCGAGCGUUGUCCGGAUUUAUUGGGCGUAAAGAGCUCGUAGGCGGUGUGUCGCGUCGGCCGUGAAAACCUGCAGCUUAACUGUGGGCUUGCGGUCGAUACGGGCAUCACUGGAGUUCGGCAGGGGAGACUGGAAUUCCUGGUGUAGCGGUGAAAUGCGCAGAUAUCUGGAGGAACACCGGUGGCGAAGGCGGCAUCCUGGACCAACACUGACGCUGAGGAGCGAAAGCCAGGGGAGCAAACGGG
rnacentral:rRNA from 1 species